AAAAGAGAGGACGAGAAACCAGAAGCUUCUCUCUUCCUCCGUCCUCCCGACGCCGCCACCAGGGGCGAGGCGCAGCACACCGGACGGCCGCCCCCUCUCCCUCCCUCUCUGUUCCCCUCGCGGGCUCGACCUCCAUAGCUCCUGGUUCCGCCCUCUACAAACGCAGGCUCAAGGACUUUUCGCCUUGUUGUCUGCGGCUGGUGAUGUCCUCCAUUCCUCAUUUCAUUUCCCUCAGCCUUGCAUGCAUCUGACGCCUAGCAAUUUGUGCUCUGGUGUGCACAGCGUUGGCUAAAUGUGUGUGGUAGCCUGAUACCAGGAACACAUGCUGAACCGACCACUUGGGUUGGGCGAGCAGGGACCGUGACCAAUUUCAAGGCCCGGGGCCUGAGAUAGAUGACGACCUCUCGUGAUCAGCGAGGGAUGCAUGUGCUAGGGUCUCGUGCAGUCGCUUAGGUGUCAAUGAAUUGAGAAGCAAGACCCCUGCGAAUAUUAUCCACUACAUCAGCUAUCAACAUUGGCAUAAAUAAGGAUUCCAUUCCCUGAAAAUGAUGAAACUAUUCCACUUCACUUGCCACCAAAUCGGAAAGCUAAAAUAUUGGUUAGUUGACGUGUGCAUAUAUUUCCAUAUGACUGGAUCGAUUUUCCAGAGUGUAGAAAGAUUGGGAGUCAAGAUAAGAAGUUGUUGGAGGUUGGAUUUCUUUCAAUAUUGCCAAAAAAAAUCAAAAUUAGGAGUGGAUAUUGGAAACUCUUGGAGAUACUUUGUAAUAGCAUGACAAUGUGUUAUUAUGUUCAGAAAAAAAUUAGCGACACCUCGACAUGACCA